CCGUUUAUCCGCUCGGAUCAAAGUUCAAAAUGCCGCGCGGCGCGAGCUCACCAGAGCAGAUGCGUUUACUCGGUCACGCAUUAAUCAGCGUUGUGAGAUCCAGUGCUUAAAUUCAGUGUGUUCAGAAUUCACACAAAUGAUUCCUAAAUUAGUUUAAAGCCAAACAGGAUAAACAUUUUGUGCAACGAGACAGUCAGAAGGCUUUUCAAUCUACCCAUGGCCAUCAUUUUCCAUGGAUUAACUGUAGUAACACCAAGGUGUUGUGUUAAAUAUCAGGAGCGAGAUAACAACAGCGAAGGUAACCAGGUCAGAUAAGUUGAACACGCAGGCCGAAACAAGACCAAAGGGACCGUCGGUCAGAAUAUCUCCGCCAACUGGCUACCUGCACAGACUCUCUGAUGCUUGCAGGAACACGGAUCUGCAGCGAUUGUUAGAGCUGUACUCCGGCGCUGAAAAUUUUUAUUUUUGAAUAUUCUCAGGCGCUCCUAAACCAGCUUAAAUUGGAUCAUUUUAUUGUGCCGCUCCACCCUGCCAAAAUGCCAAGAGAGUGUGGGUCUUGGCGAAGGCCGGCACUCCUGAAUCUUCCCCGCGGCCUGCGCGCCCCCCACCCCUCUGCACUAUCUGCUGACACAGAGUCUUGCCCCAGGCCGAAGCUCUCCGCAUGGCCAGCCCCCUGCUGGGAAAAGAUGCACUAAGUUGGAGAGAGCUGGAGGCGUCCCAGCACACAACUGGCCAGCAGGCCACUCAAUGCGUGACACCUCACAUAUGUGUGCGCUGUCCUUUUAUACAGUAUGUACGGCACAUUGAAGUACACAUUACCAGUAAAUGAAUGUAGUUUUCUUUGCACUG